CGAAGGGGGCUAGCGUUGUUCGGAAUUACUGGGCGUAAAGCGCACGUAGGCGGCUUUUUAAGUCAGGGGUGAAAUCCUGGAGCUCAACUCCAGAACUGCCUUUGAUACUGAGAAGCUUGAGUCCGGGAGAGGUGAGUGGAACUGCGAGUGUAGAGGUGAAAUUCGUAGAUAUUCGCAAGAACACCAGUGGCGAAGGCGGCUCACUGGCCCGGUACUGACGCUGAGGUGCGAAAGCGUGGGGAGCAAACAGG
rnacentral:rRNA from 1 species